rnacentral:rRNA from 1 species
CCUACGGGCGGCAGCAGUGGGGGAUAUUGGACAAUGGGGGAAACCCUGAUCCAGUGACGCCGCGUGAGUGAAGAAGUAUUUCGGUAUGUAAAGCUCUAUCAGCAGGGAAGAAAGAAAUGACGGUACAUGAGUAAGAAGCCCCGGCUAACUACGUGCCAGCAGCCGCGGUAAUACGUAGGGGGCAAGCGUUAUCCGGAAUUACUGGGUGUAAAGGGAGCGUAGACGGUAAUGCAAGUCUGGAGUGAAAGGCGGGGGCUCAACCCCCGGACUGCUCUGGAAACUGUGUAACUGGAGUGCAGGAGAGGCAGGCGGAAUUCCUAGUGUAGCGGUGAAAUGCGUAGAUAUUAGGAGGAACACCAGUGGCGAAGGCGGCCUGCUGGACUGUAACUGACGUUGAGGCUCGAAAGCGUGGGGAGCAAACAGGAUUAGAUACCCUAGUAGUC